rnacentral:rRNA from 1 species
CGCGGCCUAUCAGCUUGUUGGUGGGGUGAUGGCCUACCAAGGCGACGACGGGUAGCCGGCCUGAGAGGGCGACCGGCCACACUGGGACUGAGACACGGCCCAGACUCCUACGGGAGGCAGCAGUGGGGAAUAUUGCACAAUGGGCGAAAGCCUGAUGCAGCGACGCCGCGUGAGGGAUGACGGCCUUCGGGUUGUAAACCUCUUUCAGCAGGGACGAAGCGGAAGUGACGGUACCUGCAGAAGAAGCGCCGGCCAACUACGUGCCAGCAGCCGCGGUAAGACGUAGGGCGCGAGCGUUGUCCGGAUUUAUUGGGCGUAAAGAGCUCGUAGGCGGCUUGUCGCGUCGACUGUGAAAUCCCGCAGCUCAACUGCGGGUCUGCAGCCGAUACGGGCAGGCUAGAGUUCGGUAGGGGAGACUGGAAUUCCUGGUGUAGCGGUGAAAUGCGCAGAUAUCAGGAGGAACACCGGUGGCGAAGGCGGGUCUCUGGGCCGAUACUGACGCUGAGGAGCGAAAGCGUGGGGAGCGAACAGGAUUAGAUACCCUGGUAGUCCACGCUGUAAACGUUGGGCGCUAGGUGUGGGGGGCCUCUCCGGUUCUCUGUGCCGCAGCUAACGCAUUAAGCGCCCCGCCUGGGGAGUACGG